GGCCACCUCUUCAGGAAGUAGUAAGGCAUCCAUCAAUUCUUUGAUAGCUGCGCCAUGUUUCACAGGAGUACCUGUUGCUGUAAGGAACCCCCUGGUAUUCCAGAUUAAGCCAAAGUUAUGUGCCACGCCCAGGGCAUACCUUGAGUCUGUGUAAAUAUUAACAGGCUUCCCUUCAGACAUCUUGCAUGCCACCGUAAGGGCUAUUAGUUCGGCUUCUUGUGCUGACU